UCCCUCUUAGCUCAGUGGUAGAGCGCGUCACUAGUAUAGUGGAUACUUAACGUCAUUAUGACGAGGUCAGUCGUUCAAGUCGGCUAGAGGGAA